rnacentral:rRNA from 1 species
UACGUAGGGGGCAAGCGUUGUCCGGAAUUAUUGGGCGUAAAGCGCGCGCAGGCGGUCCUUUAAGUCUUGUGUUUAAUGUCAGGGCUCAACCCUGAUUCGCAUGGGAAACUGGGGGACUGGAGUGCAGGAGAGGAAAGUGGAAUUCCACGUGUAGCGGUGAAAUGCGUAGAGAUGUGGAGGAACACCAGUGGCGAAGGCGACUUUCUGGCCUGUAACUGACGCUGAGGCGCGAAAGCGUGGGGAGCAAACAGGAUUAGAAACCCCCGUAGUCC